GGGCCUGUGGUCUAGUGGUAUGACGUUGCAUUCGCAUUGCAGAGAUGGCGGUUCGAUUCCGCCCAGGUCCA
rnacentral:tRNA from 1 species